UGUCCCGAAAGUAAAAGGUCUAUAUAAUUUAAAUAAUUUUUGUGUCAAUAAGAUUAUAAAGAUUUAUAUAGGAGUGAAACGCUAAUCGAUUUUACUUAUAUCUGGUUACUCUAGAAAUAAAUUUAGUUUAGAUUGUCUAGAAAUUCUUGAAUUUGAGGCGGUUUUAACUUUUAGGGGAUGAGCUCUAAAAGUAAUAUAAAAGAAUAAAGUGGUUUAAUUUAUUUAUAGGCUUAGAAUUGGCUAUAAGAUAGUGUUAUAAGAUAUAAAGUAAAGGGUAAGAUUUAGAUUUCUUUUGUUUUUAUUGAGUUAAUCUAAAAAUUAAAUAAAGGAUGGAAAUAUGAUAGUAUUAGUAGAAUUUUCUGUAGAAUUUUUAGUAUAAUUUUUUUGUAAUAAUUUUAGUAAAAGAACUCGGCAAGUAUAAUUUCCGAAUGUUUAACAAAAACAUUUCUUCUUAGAAUAAGAGGUAGGGCCUGCUCACUGAAAGUUUAAAGAGCCGCAGUAUUUUGACUGUGCUAAGGUAGCAUAAUCAUUAGUCUUUUAAUUGGGGACUGGUAUGAAUGGUUUAACGAGAGAUUGACUUUUUUUAUUAAAAAAAUUGAAUUUAAUUUUUUAGUGAAAAGGCUAAAAUGUGUCAGAAAGACGAGAAGACCCUAUAGAGUUUUAUUCAUAAAUUAAAUUUAUAUUUUAAUAGGUUUUAUAGAAUGUAAUUUUAAAUUGAAUUUUGUUGGGGCGACAGUAAGAUAAGAAAAACUCUUUAUUAUAGAAACUUUUAUAAAAGAAUUUUUGAUCCUCUAUAAGAGAUCAUAAGAAAAAAUUACCUUAGGGAUAACAGCGUAAUCUUUUUUGAGAGUUCUAAUCGACAAAAAGGUUUGCGACCU
rnacentral:rRNA from 1 species